UCCUUGAUGGUCUAGUGGUCAUGAUUUCCGCUUGUCACGCGGGAGACCGGGGUUCGAUUCCCCGUCAGGGAG
rnacentral:tRNA from 17 species